rnacentral:rRNA from 1 species
UGAGUGCGAGCUGCUACGGCAGCGAAGUUGGUGAUGUCAUGCUUCCAAGAAAAGCCCUAUACCCGUUAAGGCAUCAUGGCCUGUACCCGAAACCGACACAGGUGGGGUGGUAGAGAAUACCGAGGGGCGCGAGGUAACUCUCUCUAAGGAACUCGGCAAAAUGGCCCCGUAACUUCGGGAGAAGGGGUGCCACCGCAAGGUGGUCGCAGUGAAGAGGCCCAGGCGACUGUUUACCAAAAACACAGGUCUCCGCUAAGUCGCAAGACGAUGUAUGGGGGCUGACGCCUGCCCAGUGCCGGAAGGUUAAGGAAGCUGGUCAGCGCAAGCGAAGCUAGCGACUGAAGCCCCGGUGAACGGCGGCCGUAACAAUAACGGUCCUAAGGUAGCGAAAUUCCUUGUCGGGUAAGUUCCGACCCGCACGAAGGGCGUAACGAUCUGGGCGCUGUCUCGGAGAGAGGCUCGGCGAAAUAGAAUUGUCUGUGAAGAUGCGGACUACGUGCACCCGGACAGAAAGACCCUAUGAAGCUUUACUGUAGCUUGGUAUUGUGCCCGGGCUCGCAAUGCGCAGGAUAGGUGGGAGGCUUUGAUCAUCGGCUUGCGGGUCGAUGUGAGCCAACGGUGAGAUACCACUCUUUGCGAGCUAGGGCUCUAACGGCCACCCGUCAUCCGGGGGCCGGACAGUACCUGGUGGGCAGUUUGACUGGGGCGGUCGCCUCCUAAAAGGUAACGGAGGCGCGCAAAGGUUUGCUCAGGCUGGUUGGAAAUCAGCCGACGAGUGUAAAAGCAGAAGCAAGCUUGACUGUGAGACCAACAAGUCGAACAGGGAGGAAACUCGGCUUUAGUGAUCCGACGGUUCUGAGUGGAAGGGCCGUCGCUCAACGGAUAAAAGUUACUCUAGGAUAACAGGCUGAGCUCCCCCAAGAGUUCUCAUCGACGGGGAGGUUUGGCACCUCGAUGUCGGCUCAUCGCAACCUGGGGCUGAAGUCGGUCCCAAGGGUUGGGCUGUUCGCCCAUUAAAGCGGUACGCGAGCUGGGUUCAGAACGUCGUGAGACAGUUCGGUCCAUAUCCGGUGCACGCGCAGGAAUAUUGAGAGGAUUUCUCCCUAGUACGAGAGGACCGGGAGGAACGCACCUCUGGUGUACCAGUUAUCGUGCCAACGGUAAACGCUGGGUAGCCAUGUGCGGAGUGGAUAACCGCUGAAAGCAUCUGAGUGGGAAGCCCACCUCAAGAUGAGUAUUCCCAUGGCGUAAGCCAGUAAGGUCACGGGAAGAACACCCGUUGAUAGGCUCUAUGUGGAAGCGCAGUAAUGCGUGAAGCAGAGGAGUACUAAUAGACCGAGGGCUUGAU